UAAAAAAAAAAAAAAAAAAUUUGAAAGAUGGAUACACUAAAUUGACACUUUCUAAAGUUUAAAAAUAUGAUUGCAAAAGUAAUGAAAAAUCGGUGUGAGGAAAAUGUUCAAACUGACGCUGUGGAGGAGGCCAAGCAUGGUGACCAUAAGCACGGGUAUGGACAUGGUCACCACGGCCAUGGACAUGGUCAUGGUCAUCAAGGACACGGUGCUGCUGGCGAGACAGAAACCAAACAAAAUUAGACAAAUCCAUCGUCCUAUACAUGCAGUCUGUCUGAUGAGUGUGUCUAAGUAAUAUGUAGCUUAUCUAAGUUUGUAUGCCAAUAAGAUCGCACUGCAGGUUGUGUAGCUUAUCAACUCCCAACCAUAAUAGCAAGUUGUACUUUUUUCAUGUGUCUUCCGCAGCUUCUGCUUUUCUUGUAUUGCAACUAUUGUGCUUGAAGAUGUUAAAUCUCCACUGUAAUGUCAGGAUGUCUUGCAUUUCUCUA